GGGGGGGCAAGCGUUGUUCGGAGUUACUGGGCGUAAAGGGCGUGUAGGCGGUCCUGCAAGUCUUUCGUGAAAUCCCACAGCUCAACUGUGGAACUGCGAGGGAAACUGCAGGACUUGAGUCCGGGAGAGGAGAGUGGAAUUCCCAGUGUAGCGGUGAAAUGCGUAGAUAUUGGGAGGAACACCGGUGGCGAAGGCGGCUCUCUGGACCGGUACUGACGCUGAGGCGCGAAAGCUAGGGGAGCAAACGGGAUUAGAUACCCCGGUAGUCCUAGCCUUAAACGAUGAGCACUUGGUGUGGCGGGUAUCGACCCCCUGCCGUGCCGAAGCUAACGCAUUAAGUGCUCCGCCUGGGGGAGUACGGUCGCAAGGCUG
rnacentral:rRNA from 1 species